UGAGGGAAAGCUGCAAAGUACUCUGAAGAGAGAGUUCAAAAGGACGUGAAGCCGUCUGCAGGGAAACGGGUGAGACCGCACGGUAGACCCACGGCGGAUUCAGCUCCGAGGGCAACUUCGGGGUGCACUUCCGCNCNAGUGGGUCGCGCAGGNCCCGGCUCGACGGCCGUCUGAAGCCCGGAGAGGAGGUGACGGGGUUCUUCGGAACUCCGAGUUUAACUCUUCGGCGCGGAGACCGGUUGUUGGGUCGAGGACGUCCAUCCGUCUUUGACGCGUGGGUUUUGGUCGGCUCGCUGGUUCGACUGGGUUGGAGCCCGUCUCCGAUGGGCUGCUCUCGACUGCCAGUGGGUUCUUCCGAGGCUUUUCGCCGGAUGACUAGGACACCUGUGCUCAGGUCGGCACCUCACCCGACCC
rnacentral:rRNA from 2 species